CCUACGGGGGGCUGCAGUGGGGAAUAUUGGGCAAUGGGCGCAAGCCUGACCCAGCAACGCCGCGUGAAGGAAGAAGGCUUUCGGGUUGUAAACUUCUUUUGUCAGGGAAGAGUAGAAGACGGUACCUGACGAAUAAGCCACGGCUAACUAAGUGCCAGCAGCCGCGGUAAUACGUAGGUGGCAAGCGUUGUCCGGAUUUACUGGGUGAAAAGGGCGUGUAGGCGGGUUGGCAAGUCAGAUGUGAAAGCCUGCGGCUUAACCGCAGAACUGCAUUUGAAACUGGUGAUCUUGAGUACUGGAGAGGCAGAUGGAAUGCCUAGUGUAGCGGUGAAAUGCGUAGAUAUUAGGAGGAACACCAGUGGCGAAGGCGGUCUGCUGGACAGCAACUGACGGUGAGGCGCGAAAGCGUGGGGAGCAAACAGGAUUAGAUACCCCAGUAGUC
rnacentral:rRNA from 1 species